CGCUAAUACCGCAUAUUCUGUGAGCAGGAAAGCAGGGACCGCAAGGCCUUGCGCUCUUUGAGCGGCCGAUGUCAGAUUAGCUAGUUGGUGAGGUAAAGGCUUACCAAGGCGACGAUCUGUAGCGGGUCUGAGAGGAUGAUCCGCCACACUGGAACUGAGACACGGUCCAGACUCCUACGGGAGGCAGCAGUGGGGAAUUUUGGACAAUGGGCGCAAGCCUGAUCCAGCCAUGCCGCGUGAGUGAAGAAGGCCUUCGGGUUGUAAAGCUCUUUCGGCCGGGAAGAAAUCGCAUGGGUUAAUACCCUGUGUGGAUGACGGUACCGGAAUAAGAAGCACCGGCUAACUACGUG
rnacentral:rRNA from 1 species